rnacentral:tRNA from 8 species
GCCCCAAUAGCUCAGUUGGUAGAGCACCUGUUUCGUAAAUAGGUGGUCGGCGGUUCGAGUCCGUCUUGGGGCACCA